rnacentral:rRNA from 1 species
AAUAUUGCACAAUGGAGGGAACUCUGAUGCAGCAACGCCGCGUUAGUGCAGAAGGUUUUCGGAUCGUAAAACUCUGUCAUUGGGGAAGAAUAAAUGACGUUACCCAAUGAGGAAGCCCCUGCUAACUACUUGCCAGCAGCCGCGGUAAUACGUAGGUGGCUAGCGUUGUCCGGAAUUACUGCGCGUAAAGGGUACGUAGGCGGAUAUAUAAUUCAGGUGUGAAAUACCAGUGCUUAACACUGGAAUUGCAUUUGAAACUGUGUAGCUUGAGUGCAGGAGAGGAAAGUAGAAUUCCUAGUGUAGCGGUGAAAUGCGUAGAGAUUAGGAGGAACACCAGUGGCGAAGGCGACUUUCUGGACUGUAACUGACGCUGAGGUACGAAAGCGUGGGUAGCGAACA